rnacentral:tRNA from 1 species
AGCCAGCAUGGUGUAGUGGUUUGAGCAUUGGACUAGGACUCUGGAGACCAGGGUUCAAAUCCCUACUGGUUG